CCGUUUAGAGGUAAACGGAUGGGACCGCAAGGUUCCCCGCGGGAUUCAACCUUCCGCUCGGCCGUCGGGGCGUGCGUCCAGAUCCUAACCGGACUGGCGUCGUCGCGAGCGGUCGUCGGUGGGCGCACUUUCCGCGGGACUGUGGCCAGGACAGGUUCGGGGGSGGCCAGAAGCCCGCGGUCUCAGGUAGCUGUCUUCGGGCAGUGCUUAGGYUCCSCGGGUGGGCAGCGCCCCCGUACCGAGGAACGGACCGCCGCUCGGGGAACACCUCCGUCACGUGUCUGGUCAGACUGUCGUGGACUGUUCACAGUGCGCGGCGACCGCCAGGCGCGGCGCGCGGGGGCCCACUCCCCGAAGCCCAGGGUCUCUGGUCGUUUUCGUCGGCACCCCAUCCGACCCGUCUUGAAACACGGACCAAGGAGUCUAACAUGUGUGCGAGUCACUGGGUGGCAAACCCACGGGCGCAAUGAAAGUGAAGGUCGGCUCAGGUCGGCCGAGGUGGGAUCCCGGCUUCUUCGGCCGGGCGCACCACCGGCCCGUCUCG
rnacentral:rRNA from 1 species